rnacentral:rRNA from 1 species
UAAGGAAUAUUGGUCAAUGGACGCAAGUCUGAACCAGCCAUGCCGCGUGAAGGAUGAAGGUCCUCUGGAUUGUAAACUUCUUUUAUCUGGGACGAAAACGGGAUUUUUAUCUCAAUUGACGGUACCAGAGGAAUAAGCACCGGCUAACUCCGUGCCAGCAGCCGCGGUAAUACGGAGGGUGCGAGCGUUAUCCGGAUUUACUGGGUUUAAAGGGUGCGUAGGUGGGCUUAUAAGUCAGUGGUGAAAUCUCCGAGCUUAACUUGGAAACUGCCGUUGAUACUAUAGGUCUUGAAUUAUCUGGAGGUAAGCGGAAUAUGUCAUGUAGCGGUGAAAUGCUUAGAUAUGACAUAGAACACCAAUUGCGAAGGCAGCUUACUACAUAUAAAUUAACGCUGAGGCACGAAAGCGUGGGGAUCAAACA